rnacentral:piRNA from 1 species
CAAUCAUUUUCAGAUUCAGCCUCCCACGAU